CCGCCCGUCACAUCAUGGGAGUUGGUUUUACCUUAAGUCGUUGGCUCAACCUAUUUAUAGGAGAGAGGCGCCCAAGGUGAGGCUGAUGACUGGGAUGAAGUCGUAACAAGGUAGCCCUACCGGAAGGUGGGGCUGGAUCACCUCCUUUU
rnacentral:rRNA from 1 species